rnacentral:misc_RNA from 1 species
CAACCCUCAAGCCCCCGGGCUUGGUGUUGGAGAUCGGCGGGCCCUCCGGGGCGCGCCGGCUCCCCAAUACAGUGGCGGUCUCGCUGUAGCUUCCUCUGCGUAGUAGCACACCUCGCACUGGGAAACAGCGCGGCCACGCCGUUAAACCCCCCACUUCUGAAA